rnacentral:lncRNA from 1 species
UCAAUGUGUUAAUGACAUUCAUUGCUUAUGCGAGUUGUUGUUCAAACUUUGCUUGAACAUCCACAUUUUUCUGCUGAAACUCCACAUUCUUUUUCUGAGCAUCCUCAUAUUUUUGCUGAACAUCCUCAUAUUUUUGUUGAAUAUCCUCAUAUUGUUCGCGUUGCGUCUCAACCAACUUCUUCAAAUUCUCAAUCUCGACUUUUGUCUCAGCAUUAUUAUCCUCGUAUUGUUCGCGAUGCAUUUCAGAAGAUCCUUUACUAGAACGAAUGCGCUUUCCAUAUGAGCCAAAUCCAUAUAAUCUCUUUUUUCGAUCGUGUCCCCCAACAACAUCAUAAAAUAGUUUGUCCUCAUCAAUUUCCUCUCCUAUUGCUUCCAACCGAUCACAUCGUUCCUUAAAAUCAUCCUAUAAUUUUAUAAUUGUGUUGAGAUAAAACUUAUACAAAAAAAAUAUCAAAAUAAAAUUUACAUGAAAUUAUUAAAAAUAAAACUUACAUGAAUUUUUUUAGCUUUGUCAACUAAAAAAGUCACUCCAUCGUGAUUCUUAGUGUGUGUAUACAAGAAUAGUUCAUGGUGUGCCGGAUCAUGUCCCCAAAGCUUCUUCUACAUAUAUACAAAAAAAAAUCAAUAUUAAAGUAGAUUGCUAUUUUUACAUUUAGGCUUAUAUAUUUAAAAAUGAAAAAAUAGCAACUUACUUUUGGGCUAAACCCAUUUAAAAAUCAAAAUGGAACUAGAUUGUUAUGAUAUAAAAGUAAAUGAAAGUAGAUUGCUAUUUUUUGCAUUUAGGCUCCACUCUUUAAAAAUGAAAAAUAAAAUAACAUACUUUUUAGGAUUAGUCCUCUUAAAAAUCAAAAUGGAACUAGAAAAACUAUAACAUACAACUAAAUGAAAGUACAUUGCUAUUUUAUGUAUUUAUGCUUAGUCCUUUUAAAAAUAAAAAUGGAACUAGAAUGCUAUAAUAUAAAACUAAAAGAAAGUAGAUUGCUAUUUUAUGCAUUUAGGCUGAGUCCUUAUAAAAAUCAAAAUAGAACUAGAUAAAAUUAAAUGAAAGUAGAUUGAUAUAAUAUAAAAUUAAAUGAGUACUUACUAAAUCAGAAGCAAUCUUGGAAUGAGA